rnacentral:tRNA from 1 species
AGGGUGCCGGGGCUUCUCCCGUUUUUUCCCGACGGGAGAAG